GCGUAGCUAGCGCGGCUGUCGCAGGAAGCUGCGAUCGCAGCACCCUCAGCCCCUCCUCCCGCAUUUUCAGACCGAUCAACGGCAAGGAACGCCAUUCGUGCCACCUGAACCUCGCUUCUAGUCCCUACGGUUACAACCAUCCGACCCAUUCCUUGCUCUUGGCCUACUUCUCGCCCGACAGAAAGAGAGAGGGAGACAGAGAGGUUGCGAUGAUCAACUCCGGCCACCUCGAACAAUUCCGAUGACUGACACCAACGAGGCCUACUACGAGUCUCGGGCCCUUAAACUUACCUGGGCCUUAGUGCCGGUUGGGGCCAUGGUUACGGGUCGUGACACCUUCCAUCCCAUAAUAAUAGUUCUUACGUUUAUUUUUCAUUCGUUCCAAAAUACAAAUAACUAAUGUAAAUAUCCAUGCUAUGCAUGGUUUUAAUAUAUAAUUUUUUAUUAAUUUUAAAUUUUCUCAA